rnacentral:rRNA from 1 species
UACAGAGGUCCCAAGCGUUGUUCGGAUUCACUGGGCGUAAAGGGUGCGUAGGCGGUCGGGUAAGUCUGACGUGAAAUCUCCAAGCUCAACUUGGAAAUGGCGUCGGAUACUAUUCGGCUUGAGGAAUGGAGGGGAGACUGGAAUUCCUGGUGUAGCGGUGAAAUGCGCAGAUAUCAGGAGGAACACCGAUGGCGAAGGCAGGUCUCUGGGCAUUAACUGACGCUGAGGAGCGAAAGCAUGGGGAGCGAACAGG